UUCCACAAGGCAUAUGCCCAGUUGGUCGAUCUUGGCACUCACUAACACCAGUUUCUUCAGAUCAUCUUUUUCUCUUUGGAGGAUUUACCACUGAUAAACAGCCACUAAGUGAUGCCUGGACUUACUGCAUCAGUAAAAAUGAAUGGAUACAAUUUAAUCAUCCAUAUACUGAAAAACCAAGGUUAUGGCACACAGCUUGUGCCAGCGAUGAAGGAGAAGUAAUUGUUUUUGGUGGAUGUGCCAACAACUUGCUUGUCCAUCACAGAGCUGCACACAGUAAUGAAAUACUAAUAUUUUCAGUUCAACCAAAAUCUCUUGUACGGUAAGUAACUUUGUACUUGGCACUUAUUUAAAAUUGUGUUUCCUAAGACUUAGCACUCUCGAAAAACUAGGUUUAUGGAUUAUUUAAGGGCAAUAAAACUUCAUUGCUAU
rnacentral:sRNA from 1 species